ACAAAUGCGCAUUUGGGUUAAAAAACAGAACAUUUUUCUUUUGGCCACUGCAACAGUUACUAGCACUUGGGUGGAGGGAGGGAUGAAGAACCACACAUGACCAAGUGACUACACUUGUUUAUGCCACAGGAACUGUACAGGCUUCGUUGGAUCUACUCAGUUUGCACUUGUAGCAAGAGGAGAGGUCACAAAUUUCUAAUUCUACAGAAACAUUCAGCAAAAGUUAUUGCUUACAGUGGAACGUAGUCAUAUUAGGAAGACAAACUGUCAAGAGAGCUGACCCUCUACAAUGAAUCCAUUCAUCAGGAUCAACCAAGGAAAGCCUUUCAGCUUACUUCAGCGGAGCAGAGAACCAGGACCUCCACCAUUAUGCCAGCCAGAAAAUGAGAACAUUGUAAGGCUAAAGGUCAGCCCUUUGAGGAGUGGGUAAGGAAAGGUUAGAAACAGGAAAUACAAAUGAGACCCUCUCAUUUGUACACCUCCCUUCAGUUUUGCUUUGUUUUUAUCCUUUUGGAAAACUGUCAGAGAGCAUGCACAGUUGCUUGUCAGUUUGUUUAAAAACAAACUUACUGACAAAAAAACUUUAUUUGGUAUGAGGGAGAGGAAAAUGAAGACUGGGAAAAGAAGCAUACAAUCCUGAUGUUAUUUUUUUUAAGGACAAUGCAUGCUCUUGAGUUAGGCAAUGGUUUAUAUCCUUGUAGGCUAAAAGAGCUGCAUGUGCCAGAAGACAGCAUUCUUUGGGAGAGAUGGUGCACAGGACAGCAUGGGAACCAGGCUUUGCUUUUUGUGGUAGUUCAGGACACUUCCAGCUUUGUUGCUGGUGGAAAUCCUUUCUGUCUUUUUAAUGCACAGAAGGUAAUCUUUGCUUCGUCCUAAGAGGCAUUUAUAAACUGUAAUUUACUAUCUGAAUGGGACCAUCAGUUUAAAAUAAAUUUUAAAAAAAAGGUCAUUUUAAAAUGUACAGUAGCCCUUAUGUCUACAAAGCAUAAACCCAUCUGGACCAUAAGAUUUCAAAGAAUGCAUUUCAGAAAACUUAUCUUAAAGAGCAUGGUAUAUAAAAGUUAAGCGGAAGAGAAAUGAAUUAAGGAGAAGAGCCAGAUAUUCAGCAUUUCUUUGCAAUUGUACAUUUACUUCAAAGUUACAGCUUCAGUCAAUUCAGUGCCUAGUAAGUAUCAAAUUUUCCCACUGUGGUGUCAGCUUUGGAGAGAGGAGCUUUCUGCCUGUCUGCCUUGCUAUUCCGUGACACAGCAGCUUGUAACAUUCCAGGAACUUCUCACUUGCUCUCUGUGCCUUUUUUUUGUUUGUUUGUUUGUUUCCUGAGUUUGAAUGUGCUCACCAGAUGCAAUGAUAGUUAAAUGAAAGCAACAACAAAAAAAGAAAAGACCAAAGCAAGAUCUAAAUGGAUGCAGUAUUUCCCAGUGGCUUAUUUUCUAGUGGGUUAUCCUUGCUGAAAUGAGUAUGUAACAACCUCUGUUAACCAGUGGAAAUUCCAGAGAUAAAUUCAUACCAGAGAUACUCAGCUCCAUGUAGUUCUGGGCAACUAUUGUGCAACAGUUGAUCUAAACAUUUACUUGAAGAAAAAACUACUAAAAUUACUUAGUGGAUUUUUUCCCCUCAUUUUGCUCGUAAUUCAUGAAAUUUCAUAGGAACAAAUUUGAGUGCAAGAGAAUAUUUCUGAUGGCAUGAAGGUUUUGUGGAUGUUUUUGAGAAGGUUUGUCUGCAAUGGAAAUAUUUACAUACCCACACUGAAAAUUCAUUGUAAGCUUGAGAAUUAUCCAGUCAAGACAGAGAACCUGUAACAUCUGGCAGCGACCCUUAUAGCAAACUUGAGAAACAAACUUCCACAGCUGUCUGAGGAAAUGACUUGGACGCACCUCAUAGGCUGGAAGGUACCCACUUAAACCAUUCACCAAACCCUUUGAAAUACCCCAUUCAUCCUAAACGGUAUGUCUGCAUUGCAAAGCUUGAACAAUGCUGGUGUCGAAUUGCGAAGGAUAUCUGCCUGGAGGACUUCUGGUAACACAAAAGGUACAUGAAAGGAGGAUGCAGCUAAAGGAUACCCCCAACCUCCCCACUAAUUGAUAAAUCAGAGUAGUGCCAGUGUCAGCAGACAUGCCCCCCUAAAGAAACCCACAAAGGAGUGGUCAGAUCAGUUAUGCAAUUGGAGACUGGAAACCACCACAGAAACAAAAAUUGGACUACAAAAGUGGAACAGGUAGGAACUGUCAAGUGAUUUCUGUGAGGUCUGUCCCCAUCCAAGGCUCAAAAGUAUCUCUGUCCCUCUCCUAUGUGAUGUAUUUAACACCAGCUCUGCAGAAUUGCCAAGUCAUAUGAUGAAACUACGGAAAACAUGAGCUAAGGGAAUAAAUCUCACAUCACUCCAAGCUGCUUUUCAGGCUGUUUCCCUGCUCCCCUCCCCUUCUAGCAUGGUUCUUUUCGAACUGGUGUUUCACACUGUAAACCCCUAGGGCAUUGAUAUGCUAGGCAGGAGCUGAUACGUUGUGCAUCUUUAAGCAUGCCUUGUAGCCCUGUAUUCACAGGGUGGUGUUUCAUUAGCAACAGCUUAAAAAUUGAUUUAAACAUUAUGUUCAUUGCACACAAACACUCACAAAGCCUUCUGUUCCCAUUGAGGCUAAAAAAUUCCAUUGUAUGCGUAAUCUUUUAUGAGUGCAUUCUUUGAAUACUUUAUUUCUUAGAACUGUAACAGUUCUGUUUAUAAAAAGGAAUGAUACUGAUAGCAAUGUUAGGAACUUUCAGAAGGGACCACUUAGAUCUUUAAAUUUCCAUAUUAGUCCUGUUUCAAGAAAAAUACAAAGCAAAACAAAGACCCUCAAUUACAUAGUUUAAAUUCUUUAAGAAACAGCUUCACAUGCUAGGCUAAGAGGAUAGAAAAACCAAUCUUUGCCUCCUUGAUCAGAUCUUGCAGCCCUCUGAGGACAGUUUCACAUUAGAUCUUUUAAUUGUGCAUAGUUGCAAACUGGUUUACUACUACUGAGUCAGGCUAUCGUGUUGGACUGGGGAUAUUUAGAGAAGACAACAAGCUGGGGGGUGAGAAGCCUGAGGAAACACAGGGCCAACUGUUUUUUGAGUUGCACGGGGAGUGCAGAAAAAAAAUCCAUAGAUGCGCUGUAUGGCAGCCAGGAUCUGUGUCCAAGGAGACACAAAUGAAUGGUGUGCCUGCUAUCCUCUUACUGAUGCUCAGACACAAGUUACUGCUGCUGAAACAACUGCAGCACAGUACUUCAGGACAGGACCUUGGAGACUACUCUGAUCACCUCAAUGCUGCUCAAAACCUCUUCCCACUGAAUCCCCUCACUUCCAGCAGAGGAGUCUAGCAGGCCUCCUCUGCUAGCAUUUCAAGGGGUAGCCAGGUUACUCUGCACCAUGAGUGACUACUUUAGGACAGUGGUACGUCUUGGAAAACGAGGCAUAUUAACUUGGACCCACCUCUGCAGCCAUGCAAGCACCCAACUUUGAACUGGCUUGAAGAACUAGAAGAAGAAACUCAGUUCUACCCACAGCAUAUCAUGGAAAGAUUUUCUCAGAGUUUCACCUCUUUUGCUUUCUUUAAGAACUUGAAAGUUACACAAUAAAAAGUAAUGCUUAGCACUUGCAGUGGCAUGGCAUCUGUUACCUGAUGGUUUUAACGGUAAGACAUGCCUUAUAGCAUGUCUGUGGUGGGUGGCAUGACACUCACUUUGGAGCAAAUGGUGACACGAGAUUCCACAAAGGCCACAUGGUGAUUCUUCAGCAGAGCUAGGACUAAAACAUACAACUCUCAGAUCUGUAGAACAGCUUGCACAAAACCUCAGUUCCUUAAGACUUUUGAAAAGUCUCAAAGAUAUCUUGCAACCAAAGGCUCUAUGAGAGAAAUGACAGUCUUAUUUUAUUUAGCAUCUCUGUUUUUUCAACCAUUUGUAAUUCAGGCAGCUAUCAGCAAUGUCUGAAAUAUUUUUUAGAAAAUAAAGAGAAAGUGGUAUCAGCAAACAGCUUUUUGCCCUUAAAGCAGACAAAAAAACAACCACAAAAGCAGACAUUCUGCCUCCCUUGUAGUUGUAAAGGCUGACCAUAUGGUGAUCAGGGUGAACAGAUCUUUCAAGAAGGUAUUCUUUAACUAAGAGCUAAUGAGAGGCAUGAAGGGGUGGCAGUGAACUGACAAACACCAGCAGGUCAGGGAAGAGAAUAAAAAAUAAAUAAAAAGCUUAUUUUCCACCCAAGUAUUAUAUAUUCAGAAGGGUGUAAAUUCAAUUUAGAAA